AGCUUUGCGCAGUGGCAGUAUCGUAGCCAAUGAGGUUUAUCCGAGGCGCGAUUAUUGCUAAUUAAAAAUUACCUACACUAAAACAUCACUAAACAUCUAGAUGAAAUGUUUAGAUGUUAUUUACUUGG
rnacentral:snRNA from 1 species